AUAUUGUGAUGAAAAUUUGUUCUCCAUUCGCGGUUUCCACCAGAAGGCACUUUUGUGUCUGAAGAUGGCUUAAUCCUUCCUUGGAUGUCUGAAUAU